rnacentral:rRNA from 1 species
UACGAAGGGGGCGAGCGUUUGUUCGGAUUUACUGGGCGUAAAGGGCGCGCAGGCGGCUCAUUUUGUCAGGCGUGAAAGCCCCUGGCUUAACCGGGGGUGGUCGGUGGAAACUGCUCGUCUGGAGGACGGUAGAGGUAGGUAGAAUUCCCGGUGCAGUGGUGAAAUGCGUAGAGAUCGGGAGGAAUACCUGUGGCGAAGGCGGCCUACUGGGCCGGACCUGACGCUGAGACGCGAAGGCGUGGGGAGCGAACAGG